CCUUCCUGUGCUAAAGGAGUCUCCCUUCCACAGGUGAAACCCAGAAUGGAGCAGAGGACACAGGAUUUGGACUAUUGUAAUGCCCGUCUUACCAGGAGACCCUCUCCUUUGCUGGCUCUGAAGAAAGGAGCAUCAUGUUAGGGAAGCCCAAGGAACCAAGAGCAGGCUCUGGCCAACAACCAGCUAGGAAUGAGGGCAACAUUUGGCUGACGGCUGACCAGAAGCUAAGGCCCUUAGUCCAACCACCUGCAAGGGCUUGAAUCCUACCAACAACUGUGUAAGCUGGGAAGAUCCUCUCCAAGUGAACAUUGAG